ACUCAAAAAAUACCUUCUGAAUAGACAAGCAUCAAAGUGCAAGGCAGGAGUGAAGUUGGAAUGGAAGAGCAAGGAAAUCUAGGAAAAGAGCUUCAAAAUCCUUUUAUAUGUAUCCAUCUAAUCCUUGAGGUGGGUAUGAGCCUCUUUUGGCGGUCGGCAAGGAUGGGAAAGAUGACAUGAUUUCACGACUCAUAAAGAAAGUGAUGGAGCUGUAGCUUGAAUUCUUUUACUUCAAAUCCACAAUGCCAUGCCUUGCUCCAGUGAAGGACGGACUGCUGUUCUGUCUCCUAAAACCCACACAGCUCGCCUGGAGCUUCAAAUGUGAGAACACAUUCCAGCUGCAGGAUCAGAGGACUUUUCCUACAGCCCAUAAGUGCCUGCAGCUCUAUCGGAUUUGCAAAUCUACAAAAGAGAGCACAUCCUAUUGUUCCCGGUUUUGAGUUUUUUUAAUAGUAUGUCUUGUAAAAUGCUGGUUGCUGGUGGACAGGGGUGUUUUACAGAUAGGUGUGACUCAGGAGGGGAAAUGGGUGGGCAGAGACAGCCACAAGGAAUUCCACACAUGAAGGAAAUGCUCCCACUUGUGUUUUCUAUUUGUGUUUUAAAUUUGGGGAGCGACUCACAGGCACUCAGCAAAAGUAACUAAUUAUAUUAACCUUAUCAGUAGUGAGGUUUCCUGGUCUCUCAUCAGACACUCAGCUCACUGGCUGGUAUUUAAUUGGGAGCCUGGUGGCCAGUGAAAACAGUGUGGGAUGAGUCACACUUUAACAAGUUUUUAUAGUACAGCAACCUUGCUGUAUAAUAGCCAGACAUUAUUAAAAUUCAGAUAUGGUA